ACACGUGGGUGAUCUGCCCUGCACUCUGGGAUAAGCCUGGGAAACUGGGUCUAAUACCGGAUAUGACCUCGGGAUGCAUGUUCUGGGGUGGAAAGUUUUUCGGUGCAGGAUGAGCCCGCGGCCUAUCAGCUUGUUGGUGGGGUAAUGGCCUACCAAGGCGACGACGGGUAGCCGGCCUGAGAGGGCGACCGGCCACACUGGGACUGAGACACGGCCCAGACUCCUACGGGAGGCAGCAGUGGGGAAUAUUGCACAAUGGGCGCAAGCCUGAUGCAGCGACGCCGCGUGAGGGAUGACGGCCUUCGGGUUGUAAACCUCUUUCACCCAUGACGAAGCGCAAGUGACGGUAGUGGGAGAAGAAGCACCGGCCAACUACGUGCCAGCAGCCGCGGUAAUACGUAGGGUGCGAGCGUUGUCCGGAAUUACUGGGCGUAAAGAGCUCGUAGGCGGUUUGUCGCGUCGUCUGUGAAAUCCCGCAGCUCAACUGCGGGCUUGCAGGCGAUACGGGCAGACUCGAGUACUGCAGGGGAGACUGGAAUUCCUGGUGUAGCGGUGAAAUGCGCAGAUAUCAGGAGGAACACCGGUGGCGAAGGCGGGUCUCUGGGCAGUAACUGACGCUGAGGAGCGAAAGCGUGGGUAGCGAACAGGAUUAGAUACCCUGGUAGUCCACGCCGUAAACGGUGGGCGCUAGGUGUGGGUUUCCUUCCACGGGAUCCGUGCCGUAGCCAACGCAUUAAGCGCCCCGCCUGGGGAGUACGGCCGCAAGGCUAAAACUCAAAGGAAUUGACGG
rnacentral:rRNA from 1 species